rnacentral:rRNA from 1 species
AUUGAACGCUGGCGGCAGGCCUAACACAUGCCAGUCGAGCGGAUGAAGGGAGCUUGCUCCUGGAUUCAGUGGCGGACGGGUGAGUAAUGCCUAGGAAUCUGCCUGGCAGUGGGGGAUAACGUCCGGAAACGGGCGCUAAUACAGCACACGUCCUGAGGGAGAAAGAGGGGGAUCUUCGGACCUCACGCUAUUAGAUGAGCCUAGGUCGGAUUAGCUAGUUGGUGGGGUAAAGGCCUACCAAGGCGACGAUCCGUAACUGGUCUGAGAGGAUGAUCAGUCACACUGGAACUGAGACACGGUCCAGACUCCUACGGGAGGCAGCAGUGGGGAAUAUUGGACAAUGGGCGAAAGCCUGAUCCAGCCAUGCCGCGUGUGCGAAGAAGGUCUUCGGAUUGUAAAGCACUUUAAGUUGGGAGGAAGGGCAGUAAGUUAAUACCUUGCUGUUUUGACGUUACCUACAGAAUAAGCACCGGCUAACUUCGUG